AGCUAUUUAGUUUAAUAAUAAAAACUAUUGUCUUGUAAACUUUAAAUAAAAUUUAUAAUUUUAAUAGCUU
rnacentral:tRNA from 1 species